rnacentral:tRNA from 1 species
ACCGUUAUGACUCAGCUGGUAGAGCAUUCGCCCGGUAAACGGAAUGUCGCCCGUUCGAUUCUGGCUUGCGGUG